rnacentral:rRNA from 1 species
CUGNCUCAGGACGAACGCUGGCGGCGUGCCUAAUACAUGCAAGUCGAGCGAAUCGAUGGGAGCUUGCUCCCUGAGAUUAGCGGCGGACGGGUGAGUAACACGUGGNCAACCUGCCUAUAAGACUGGGAUAACUUCGGGAAACCGGAGCUAAUACCGGAUACGUUCUUUUCUCGCAUGAGAGAAGAUGGAAAGACGGUUUACGCUGUCACUUAUAGAUGGGCCCGCGGCGCAUUAGCUAGUUGGUGAGGUAACGGCUCACCAAGGCCACGAUGCAUAGCCGACCUGAGAGGGUGAUCGGCCACACUGGGACUGAGACACGGCCCAGACUCCUACGGGAGGCAGCAGUAGGGAAUCUUCCGCAAUGGACGAAAGUCUGACGGAGCAACGCCGCGUGAGUGAUGAAGGCUUUCGGGUCGUAAAACUCUGUUGUUAGGGAAGAACAAGUACGAGAGUAACUGCUCGUACCUUGACGGUACCUAACCAGAAAGCCACGGUUAACUACGUGCCAGCAGCCGCGGUAAUACGUAGGUGGGCAAGCGUUAUCCGGAAUUAUUGGGCGUAAAGCGCGCGCAGGCGGGUUUCUUAAGUCUGAUGUGAAA